rnacentral:rRNA from 1 species
CAGCAGCCGCGGUAAUACGGAGGAUCCAAGCGUUAUCCGGAAUCAUUGGGUUUAAAGGGUCCGUAGGCGGUCUUGUAAGUCAGUGGUGAAAGCCCAUCGCUCAACGGUGGAACGGCCAUUGAUACUGCAGGACUUGAAUUAUUGGGAAGUAACUAGAAUAUGUAGUGUAGCGGUGAAAUGCUUAGAGAUUACAUGGAAUACCAAUUGCGAAGGCAGGUUACUACCAAUUGAUUGACGCUGAUGGACGAAAGCGUGGGUAGCGAACAGGAUUAGAUACCCGCGUAGUCCCUGUCUCUUAUUC